CCACCAAGGCCAGAGACCUGAGGGCACGUGACCUAGGAAUGUGCAUCCCAAGAUAAUACUACCUUCAGAGAACUCUACUUAUAGCAUUUCUACAUUGGUGUAGACAGAGACAUGAAGCUCUACAGCACCAGCCAAGAGGAAGGGCAGUGCAGGGGCCGGCCCCCAGAAAUUUGAAGAGAAAAAAGCAUUCUCGUGAAGAUGGGUUGUCUCAUAUCUUCCAUAAAAUUACUAGAACCCUCUCUGAGCAAUUCCAUAGGUGAGCCUUUCAUCAGUGACAAAGGAAAUUCAGGACACCGAGAAGAUGAUAUUUUCUUAUAGAAUCUAGCAAGACGAUGUGUAAGGAUUUCAGAUGUGUAGUUCCCAUUAAAGUUAACAAGAGUUGUGCUGUUAAAA